rnacentral:rRNA from 1 species
CCAAUAGCGUAUAUUAAAGUUGUUGCCGUUAAAAAGCUCGUAGUUGAAUUUCGGGGUCAGUAGGUUGGUCGUGCCACCGGUACGUACUGGUCUCACUGAUUCCUCCUUCCUGAUGAGCUGUAAUGCCAUUAAUUUGGUGUUGCAGGGAAUCUGGACUGUUACUUUGAAAAAAUUAGAGUGUUUAAAGCAGGCUAACGCUUGAAUACAUUAGCAUGGAAUAAUGAAAUAGGACGUUCGAUCCUAUUUUGUUGGUUUCUAGGAUUGACGUAAUGAUUAAUAGGGAUAGUUGGGGGCAUUAGUAUUCAAUUGUCAGAGGUGAAAUUCUUGGAUUUAUUGAAGACUAACUACUGCGAAAGCAUUUGCCAAGGAUGUUUUCAUUAAUCAAGAACGAAAGUUAGGGGAUCGAAGACGAUCAGAUACCGUCGUAGUCUUAACCAUAAACUAUGCCGACUAGGGAUCGGAUGAUGUUAAUUUUUUAAUGACUCAUUCGGCGCCUUACG